rnacentral:rRNA from 1 species
GAUGAACGCUGGCGGCGUGCUUAACACAUGCAAGUCGAACGAACGGGCCAGGAUUUUGUGGGGUGGAUGUUUGCGGAGGGGGGGAGAAAAACGUGUGUAUCACCCACUUGUAUUUGGGGUAAAUCUUGGAAACUGGGGAGAUAACAGGAUAGAAGAUCUUGAUCCGUGUUGGGGGUUGGAAAGUUUCGGUCGUUGGGGAUGGUCUAGCGGCUUACGAGCUACUUGGUGGGGUAGGGGCUUACAAGGCUUUUGACGGGUAGCCGGCCUGAGAGGGUGACCGGCCACAUGAGGACUGAGAUACGGCGCAGACGGCUACGGGAGGCAGCAGUGGAGAAUCUGGCACAAUAGGCGGAAGCCUGAUGCAGCAACGCCGCGUGCGGGAUGACGUCCUUCGGGUGGUAAACCGCUUUCGCAUGUGACGAAGCGUGAUUGACGGUAAUGGGUAAAGAAGCACCGGCUAACUACGUG